GAUGAACGCUGGCGGCGUGCUUAACACAUGCAAGUCGAGCGAAGCGCUUUGGUUAGAUUCUUCGGAUGAAGACCUUUGUGACUGAGCGGCGGACGGGUGAGUAACGCGUGGGUAACCUGCCUCAUACAGGGGGAUAACAGUUAGAAAUGACUGCUAAUACCGCAUAAGACCACAGUACCGCAUGGUACAGGGGUAAAAACUCCGGUGGUAUGAGAUGGACCCGCGUCUGAUUAGCUGGUUGGUGGGGUAACGCCUACCAAGGCGACGAUCGGUAGGGUUCUGAGAGGAACGGUCCCCCA
rnacentral:rRNA from 1 species